GAUGAACGCUGACAGCAUGCUUAACACAUGCAAGUCAACUUGAAUUUGGGUUUUUAACUUAGGUUUGGGUGGCGGACGGGUGAGUAACGCGUAAAGAACUUGCCUCACAGCUAGGGACAACAUUUGGAAACGAAUGCUAAUACCUAAUAUUAUGAUAAUAGGGCAUCCUAUAAUUAUGAAAGCUAUAAGCGCUGUGAGAGAGCUUUGCGUCCCAUUAGCUAGUUGGAGAGGUAACGGCUCACCAAGGCGAUGAUGGGUAGCCGGUCUGAGAGGGUGAUCGGCCACAAGGGGACUGAGACACGGCCCUUACUCCUACGGGAGGCAGCAGUGGGGAAUAUUGGACAAUGGACCGAGAGUCUGAUCCAGCAAUUCUGUGUGCACGAUGAAGUUUUUCGGAAUGUAAAGUGCUUUCAGUUGGGAAGAAACAAAUGACGGUACCAACAGAAGAAGUGACGGCUAAAUACGUG
rnacentral:rRNA from 1 species